rfam:Ictidomys tridecemlineatus contig053799, whole genome shotgun sequence.
GUGGAUAUAGCUCAGUUGGUAGAGUGCUUGCCUCACAUGCAUUAAGGCCCUGGGUUCAAUCCCCAGCACCAUA